rnacentral:rRNA from 1 species
UACAGAGGUCUCAAGCGUUGUUCGGAUUCAUUGGGCGUAAAGGGUGCGUAGGCGGCGCGGUAAGUCGGGUGUGAAAUCUCGGGGCUUAACUCCGAAACUGCAUUCGAUACUGCCGUGCUUGAGGACUGGAGAGGAGACUGGAAUUUACGGUGUAGCGGUGAAAUGCGUAGAUAUCGUAAGGAAGACCAGUGGCGAAAGCGAGCCUCUGGACAGUUACUGACGCUGAUGCACGAAGGCCAGGGGAGCAAACGGG